rnacentral:rRNA from 1 species
GACGAACGCUGGCGGCGUGCUUAACACAUGCAAGUCGAACGGAAAGGCCCUGCUUUUGUGGGGUGCUCGAGUGGCGAACGGGUGAGUAACACGUGAGUAACCUGCCCUUGACUUUGGGAUAACUUCAGGAAACUGGGGCUAAUACCGGAUAGGAGCUCCUGCUGCAUGGUGGGGGUUGGAAAGUUUCGGCGGUUGGGAUGGACUCGCGGCUUAUCAGCUUGUUGGUGGGGUAGUGGCUUACCAAGGCUUUGACGGGUAGCCGGCCUGAGAGGGUGACCGGCCACAUUGGGACUGAGAUACGGCCCAGACUCCUACGGGAGGCAGCAGUGGGGAGUAUUGCACAAUGGGCGGAAGCCUGAUGCAGCAACGCCGCGUGCGGGAUGACGGCCUUCGGGUUGUAAACCGCUUUCGCCUGUGACGAAGCGUGAGUGACGGUAAUGGGUAAAGAAGCACCGGCUAACUACGUG